rnacentral:rRNA from 1 species
AUUGAACGCUGGCGGCAUGCUUUACACAUGCAAGUCGAACGGCAGCGCGGGCUUCGGCCUGGCGGCGAGUGGCGAACGGGUGAGUAAUGCAUCGGAACGUGCCCAGUAGUGGGGGAUAGCCCGGCGAAAGCCGGAUUAAUACCGCAUACGACCUGAGGGUGAAAGCGGGGGACCGAAAGGCCUCGCGCUAUUGGAGCGGCCGAUGUCGGAUUAGCUAGUUGGUGGGGUAAAGGCUUACCAAGGCGACGAUCCGUAGCUGGUCUGAGAGGACGACCAGCCACACUGGAACUGAGACGCGGCCCAGACUCCUACGGGAGGCAGCAGUGGGGAAUUUUGGACAAUGGGGGCAACCCUGAUCCAGCCAUGCCGCGUGCGGGAAGAAGGCCUUCGGGUUGUAAACCGCUUUUGUUCGGGAAGAAAUCCUCUGGGCUAAUACCCCGGGGGGAUGACGGUACCGGAAGAAUAAGCACCGGCUAACUACGUG